CAGGGCUUACCGUUAGCUGUUUAACUUUAAUAACUAAUUGAUUCAAACGGUCCAUGAAUUUUUUUUUUUUUUUUUUUUUCAGCAGGUAUCCUAGUUACAACAUGACUGAGCUAACUGGAGAGCCAUCCAAAAUCAUUUGGCGACACUGGCAAGCAUGGUGAUACUGCUGGAGACGGAUGUCACUCUCUUCUGCAUCAUGUAAAAAUGAGAGUGGAGUAAAAAAAUAGGAAUAUGUCUCGAUGAAGAUGAGAUUUAAAGCAAUAUUAUAAUAGCCAAAUUCGCUGAAAUAUUGACCUGUAUGAACAAAGAGACAGCAAAGAACUAGGAAACACAAUGUAUAAGGUCCUAAGCAUAAGACCAAAACGUUAGAACUAGGUGGGAAAUAAGAUAAGAAUGGUGAAACUGUGGUAAACAAAUUCAUGGAAACAUAUUCUGGUUUCAAAGUGUAACGCUAUGAAAAACAUUGCGGUUUAUAUCUCACAACUCUAGAAAUUUAAGGUGUACUUCGCGUACUAUGCCUAUUUUCAUUUUUUAAUUUAGUGUCUUUCGAUGGAAUAUUUUAUGAGAGAUGAGAUCACUGAAUUCAAUGAUGAACUGCCUUUAACUGUCAUUUGCAUUAUUGACCCACUGUUUUCCUAAUGAAUGUUGUUCAGUUGCUUUGACGCGAUGUAUUUUGUUUAAAGCACUAUAUAAAUAAAGGUGACUUGACUUGAUAUUUAAGCUAAACAAACGACAAAGGAUCGGUGCAUAAAACUGUGACCACAAACAUCAAUAACUUAAAUGAACAAAAGACAAUAACCGCCAAUAUUUUUUGAGACAUAACUGUGAGAUGACUUAAGGAGCCUAUGAAUCGGUUAAUUGAAACGAACUAUUCAAAUUAAUCAUUUUUCAGAAGUGAAUCGGACUUUGCAUCAGUAAAUGGGAUCACAAAAAAGGGGUUUGUAUAAAGUUUGAGCAUGCGUUUAAUCAGAUUUCCAAUGAUUUAGAGCACUGCCAUUAACAGUAUGAGUAUUUUGGGAUACGCAUCCACGACUGCCAUGUUUGAAGCCUGAGGUGUAUGUUGGGUAUUGUAGUUCCCUGACCUGAAGGUCAACAUAGCUUGAAUGAGGUGUUCAACUGAACCCCUUUUGUAAAAACAAAAACAAAAAUAAUUGUUAAAACAUAUUUAGACUAAUGAUUAUAAUCAAGAAUAAUACAAUGUACAUGUGCUAAAACAGGCAUGAAGUGUUGGUUGUCUUAUAAUGGAGCAACUGUUAUUACAGUAGGUGGACAAGCUAAAUGGGCUGGCCUCCACAAUCACCGGACCUGAACCCAAUCGAGAUGGUUUAGGGGUGAGCUGGACCGCAGACAGAAAGCAAAAGGGCCAACAAGUGCUAAGCAUCUCUCUGGGAACUGCUUCAAGACUGUUGGAAGACCAUUUCAGCUGACUAGCUCUUGAAGCUCAUCAAGAGAAUGCCAAGAGUGUGCAAAGCAGUAAUCAAAGCAAAAGGUGGCUACUUUGAAGAACCUAGAAUAUGACAUAUUUUCAGUUGUUUCACACUUUUUUGUUAUGUAUAUGAUUUAAUAUAUAAUUCCACAUGUGUUAAUUCAUAGUUUUGAUGCCUUCAGUGUGAAUCUACAAUUUUCAUAGUCAUGAAAAUAAAGAAAACUCUUUGAAUG
rnacentral:lncRNA from 1 species